CCCUUAGAUGUUCUGGGCUGCACGCGCGCUACACUGAUGCAUGCAACGAGUUUUCGACCUUGCCUGAAAAGGUUGGGUAAUCUGUUUAACAUGUGUCGUGAUGGGGAUAGACCAUUGCAAUUAUUGAUCUUCAACGAGGAGUUCCUAGUAAGCGCGAGUCAUCAGCUCGUGCUGAUUAUGUCCCUGCCCUUUGUACACACCGCCCGUCGCUCCUACCGAUUGGGUGAUCCGGUGAAUGAUUCGGACUGACGUUGUACUAGCUACUAGUUCAAUGUUAGGAAGUUUUGUGAACCUAAUCACUUGGAGGAAGGAGAAGUCGUAACA
rnacentral:rRNA from 1 species